CCCUUGUUGUUUUUACAUCGUGAAACAAGACAAAAUGGGCGAAACAAUUGGAUGCUAAUCAAUACUUAUAUUCCUGUGAUUUCAUACACCAAAUUGAACUUCGUAUCAUAUAUGCAUACUGUCAGUCAUUCCAAAAAGCUGACUUAGCGCUCAGUCACUUUCCCUCCAAUAGACCCAUCAUGUUGUCAAAAGCCUAAAACUCAUGUGUGAAGUUCACAUAUCGUGGAAUACAAAUGUGUGAAGACAAGGACAAGGUAUUUCCCAAUACUGCUACUACACCAAACACACCACGUCAAAUGCCUUCCUAAAUUCAUCACCAGUCACCCAUAUGAUAAAGCAUCAAAAAAUUUACCUCAACCUAAGGAGUAAGG